UGGGGAAUAUUGCACAAUGGGCGCAAGCCUGAUGCAGCCAUGCCGCGUGUGUGAAGAAGGCCUUCGGGUUGUAAAGCACUUUCAGCGAGGAGGAAGGUGGUGAGCUUAAUACGCUCAUCAAUUGACGUUACUCGCAGAAGAAGCACCGGCUAACUCCGUGCCAGCAGCCGCGGUAAUACGGAGGGUGCAAGCGUUAAUCGGAAUUACUGGGCGUAAAGCGCACGCAGGCGGUUUGUUAAGUCAGAUGUGAAAUCCCCGGGCUCAACCUGGGAACUGCAUUUGAAACUGGCAAGCUAGAGUCUCGUAGAGGGGGGUAGAAUUCCAGGUGUAGCGGUGAAAUGCGUAGAGAUCUGGAGGAAUACCGGUGGCGAAGGCGGCCCCCUGGACGAAGACUGACGUUCAGGUGCG
rnacentral:rRNA from 1 species